CAAUCCCAGGGAUCAGGAGUUUGUUUCCACAUGGUAUUCCAGCUGUCCAGACAAGGUGUUAGCUGAAUAAACCAGACAGCAAAGACAAGCCUGGAGAGCUGCAUUUGGACCUGAGCUCUUUAUCAUGGCUUCAGUGGCACAAAGUUAUCCCAGAAAGACAAUUCCUGCAUCUUCUCCUGCUAGGAUGAAUUCUAAUAGAUGAGAAAUGAUAUUAAAUGCCUCUACUCUUUGGUGAGGUCCUGAUUCCCACAGCUAAGCUGUUUCUGGUGAAAGCCACUUUGGAUAUAUUCCUGAUACAUUCCUGAUAUAUUCCUACUCUCUGUAGGAGAGCUCUGUUGUUUAAAUUGUUCACACAGACCUGUAUUUAUCCAGUGCAGAAAACAAACUCAGGCCAGCAUUAUUUGCUAGUUUUGCCAUAUUAUUUAUAUAAUGUGUGGGUCUUCUAAACUUUCCUUGUGAUUCCUGAAUAAUACUGUUUUGCUAACAAAACUCCCCAGCUAUAGAUGUAGGCAAAACUGCCCUACUAAUGUAAAAAUAAUCAUCCUUGCAAGAAGUUUUCCAGUGGGAAAAGCCUUCCUGCCAGUGUAAAUACCUUCACAAAGUCGUUUCUGCUGUUCUUGCCACAGUGGCGUAAUUUGCAAGUCUUGAGCUCCCCUGUAGGAGAUUUAGUUUUCUGCUGUGGGAGAAUUCAGAGCUCUAAAAGAGGUUUCUGUCUCCUUCCUUCAAGCAAUUUUUACAACUCUGUCUCCUAUCUUUCUUGCUUUCCUGGUACCUGCACAUUUUACCCAUCUUUGAGGAUCUCUUAUGGGCUGUCUGUGUGUUGCAUUAGCUGGGACUUUAUAGAAACACUGUUAAAGUGUUUUGUUCUGCCAGGAGCAAAAAGAGUUAGCAAAAAACUGUAUAGAAAUUGUGAUAGAGUCAGGAGAAAUACCCUUCAAAAAUGUCACUAUUAAUCUAGUAGUCCUGGUAAAAUCAAUUUUUCUUAAGGCUCCUAUUUCUUAUAGUUAUCUCUACUCCUUUAAAGCAGUGAAGAGUCAUCUCUAUCCCAUUCAAAUUAAAUAAACUCCUUUGCUUUCUGUUUUUCUUUGCCUUCAUACACAGGGCAGUCUGUCAUGUCCUGUUCUACUGAUUAUCUGCUAAGAGAGAGUUUUCUUUUCAGAGGAUUGCCAAAGUCCUAUGAAAUGUGUGAAUAGCCAGAGAAAGACAUCUAGUGUGAGAAAGCCAAGACACUUUUAGAAAGGUCAACAAAAAUAUUGUCUCCUUGAUUGCUGAUGUAAGUAGAUUUUUGUUUCAAAUCCACUCUUUGCUUGGUGUUUCUGUGUGCCUUUGAUGAGUCUUAAAUCUGAGUAUCAGUUACUCUGAGGAUUUACAAUCCUUCUGUAAGAGGAAGGAAUUUAUAGGUAAGACACAGAGGCAGAGAGACUGCAGACAACAAAUCACUUACAGAAACAAGAAAAGAGCUGAGGAGCCUGUCUCCUGCAGGUACCUGGGGGUUUAUUUGUUUGGGAUUUUCCUAUGUAGCAAAAAUUGAUGUUUAAGUCCUUGAGCCUCAGGAACUCCCUGAUUCUCCCAACUAUACAUAAAAAUGCUAAUCCAAAAGAAAUGACAAAACAUAGUUCGUAAUAAUCCCUCCUUUUUCCUUUUUCCUUUUUCCUUUUUCCUUUUUCCUUUUUCCUUUUUCCUUUUUCCUUUUUCCUUUUUCCUUUUUCCUUUUUCCUUUUUCCUUUUCCUUUUUCCUUUUUCCUUUUUCCUUUUUCCUUUUUCCUUUUUCCCUUUUCCUUUUUCCUUUUUCCUUUUUCCUUUUUCCUUUCUCCUUUCUCCUUUCUCCUUUCUCCUUUCUCCUUUCUCCUUUCUCCUUUCUCCUUUCUCCUUUCUCCUUUCUCCUUUUUCCCUUUUCCUCUCUAUUUCUAGUAAAGCAAAUUGUUCAAGUUUUGGUGGAACAAAUGUGUUCUCAGAGAGAAGCUGCACCAUUAUUUUUAAAAGCUCUCAGCCAUAGCAGUGAUGAAUUUUCUUCUUUCAUCAUUUGAUCCAGGACAUUCUCCCUGCAUGUCAUGGCUUAUGGAGGCAGGAAAUUUGCUGCUCCCCAUGAAGUUCUCUGCAGGCUCUCUCUGUCUGCUGCUGUGAUGCCUCUUUGGGCUUCCUCCUCCUUUUUUUGCCUCCCAGAAAAAAAAAAUUAACAUUUGCCACGAUUAUUCUGGUUCAGCAUCUUCAAUUUUAAAAUCAGUUAAAUAUCAAAGUGAACCACGGUAUCUCUCCAUCUUUGAGCUCAGGUGAAGGCGCCCUAAAUUCUGGGCACUGCCAGUAGCUGCUGGGGGAAUUGCUGAGAUCCAGGCUGUUAUUGCAAUUUACUGGGGCUGGGGAGAGCAGCUGUGCCCUGCUGAAUUCCCUGAAAAUUCUGGUGUCAAGGCCUGGGGUCACUGAGCUCCAUGGGAGUCCCACAUUCAUGGGGAGAGUGUGAAUCCACUGGUGCCCUACCCAGGCCAAGCAUUUUGAGGUCUCCUAACAUCACACUGAGCUUCCUUACAUGUUUUUCAUGUUGUGUUCUCUUUAAGAACAUGUAAAUAUUAAUGAAUUUUGGUGAAAUCCGUGUGGGAACCCUAUCCCCUUUCUCAGUGCACAUUUAACUACUAAAGAAGACUGGUUUAAUGCUGAAUUCUUCUUGUGUUUAAUAUUUUAGACAACAAUUGCAUGUAUUUUUUAAAAUGUGUGAGUUCCAUCUCUACACAGAGCUCUUUCAUCUAAUUCUGCUGAAAAUGUGAGACAGCUGCAAUUUACUGUAAAUGAAGAUGGAUGUGGAAACCCAUUCACCUUUAUAAUGCCAGAGCUGCCAGCCCGUGACUGCUGAGCAGAAAUGAAUCUACCCUGCUAAAACCUCUCAGUGAAUUCAGAUGUUUGCAGGUAACUGGACACCAAAUCCCUGCAGGAUGGCGAUGCUAAAAGACAGAAAUGCAUUUUUUCAGGCACUGGUUUCCAAAGCUUUUCAAGGUGGACAAUAAAAUCCAGUCCUGAUCCUUUUCAAAACUGAGGCCAGGAGAAUGCUCUCCACCCCAGACCUUUAUGCGCAACAGUAGGAUAAGGCAAGAGUCAGCAGAAUAAAUCUAAUGAAUUAAGAUUUGCUUAAUCAGAUAAUCAGAAUAUUAGUUUUAAGAAGAUUAACUAUGCCUCAUACUUGGAGGGGUAAU